rnacentral:rRNA from 1 species
AACGAACGCUGGCGGCAGGCCUAACACAUGCAAGUCGAGCGGACCCUUCGGGGUUAGCGGCGGACGGGUGAGUAACGCGUGGGAACGUGCCCUUUGCUUCGGAAUAGCCCUGGGAAACUGGGAGUAAUACCGGAUACGCCCUUUUGGGGAAAGAUUUAUCGGCGAAGGAUCGGCCCGCGUUGGAUUAGGUAGUUGGUGGGGUAAUGGCCUACCAAGCCGACGAUCCAUAGCUGGUUUGAGAGGAUGAUCAGCCACACUGGGACUGAGACACGGCCCAGACUCCUACGGGAGGCAGCAGUGGGGAAUCUUAGACAAUGGGGGAAACCCUGAUCUAGCCAUGCCGCGUGAGCGAUGAAGGCCUUAGGGUUGUAAAGCUCUUUCACCGGGGUAGAUAAUGACGGUACCCGGAGAAGAAGCCCCGGCUAACUCCGUG